CCAUGUUUCAAUUUUAAAAAGUUUAGAAAUAAAACUCUAGCAGGGACCCUCUGGCUGUGCAGUACUGUGUCUUGGUAAAGGGCAGAUGCUCAAUGGGUACUUGUUGAAAGAGUGAUCUCACUGGUCUCACUCACAUGGGACUUGACAUAUUUCCUGCUGCAUCCUCUGGAACAGCCUCGAUGUCCUGUACCAUGGUGCUAUCUGAGUUGAGGGAGCUCUGUCAGCGAUCUUAGGGACCAGCAACAGCUCCAGGAAGCAGCACCUGGCUGCAUCAACAGAGGCCCAGGUGAAGUUGUUUACCUUUCUCCGGAGACAUGUAAAUCACUAAAUUUCCUUCCCCAUACUGCAAAAACUAGUUCAUUUUAAAAAGAAGAAAGAAGUUGGUAAUUUCCUUUCAAACCUAAAAUGCUAAAUAAAUACAACACUUUGUUUUACAACAUAA